UACGGAGGAUGCGAGCGUUAUCCGGAUUUAUUGGGUUUAAAGGGUGCAUAGGCGGACUGUUAAGUCAGCGGUAAAAGCCCGGGGCUCAACCCCGGCGAGCCGUUGAAACUGGCCGUCUUGAGAUGUCGAGAGGUAUGCGGGAAUGCGCAGUGUAGCGGUGAAAUGCUUAGAUAUUGCGCAGAACUCCGAUUGCGAAGGCAGCAUACCGGCGGCGAUCUGACGCUGAGGCACGAAAGCGUGGGUAUCGAACAGG
rnacentral:rRNA from 1 species